GCCUGGGUGGCUCAGUCAGUUGAGCAUCUGACUUCAGCUCAGGUCACGAUCUCAUGGUUUGUGGGUUCGAGCCCCGUGUCAGACU
rfam:Felis catus isolate Cinnamon breed Abyssinian chromosome B1, whole genome shotgun sequence.